UGCGUAGAUAUCUACCGGAACGCCAAAGACGAGGGUAGACGACUGGGCCGAUUCUGACGCUCAGGCACGAAAGCGUGGGGAGCAAACAGGAUUAGAUACCCUGGUAGUCCACGCCGUAAACGAUGUGCACUAGGUCCCGGAGGCUCUGACGCCAUCGGGGCCGAAGCAAAAGUGUUAAGUGCACCGCCUGGGGAGUACGGUCGCAAGGCUAAAACUCAAAGGAAUUGACGGGGGCUCACACAAGCGGUGGAGCAUGUGGCUUAAUUCGAAGCAACGCGAAGAACCUUAUCCAGGGUUUGACAUGCACGGAUACCCUUCUGGAAACAGAAGUAAGUUGCCCUUACGGGUGAAACGUGCACAGGUGCUGCAUGGCUGUCGUCAGCUCGUGCUGUGAAGUGUUGGGUUAAGUCCCUUAACGAGCGAAACCCCUGUCGUUAGUUGCUAACAGACCUUCGGGUGCUGAGGACUCUAACGAGACUGCCGGUGUCAAACCGGAGGAAGGCGGGGAUGACGUCAAGUCCUCAUGGCCUUUAUGCCCUGGGCUGCACACGUGCUACAAUGGUAUGUACAAAGGGAAGCAAUACCGU
rnacentral:rRNA from 1 species